GAGGUCUAGUGGUUAGAGCGUCCGCCUCAGAUGCGGGAGGUCGUGGGUUCUAUCCCCGGUCAUCA